UAUUUUUUUGAGAGAGAGAGUGCAAGCAGAGGAGGGGCAGACAGAGAGGGAGACACAGAAUCUGAAGCAGGCUCCAGGCUCCCAGCUGUCAGCAUAGAUGCCGAUGCAGGACUCGAAUCCACGAAGAGGUCAUGACCUGAGCCGAAGUCGGACAUUUAACCGACAGAACCACCCAGGCGAUGUGGGGCCACUGACGUGUCUGAGGAGGAGAGCGAGCAGGCCAGAGCUGUGACUCCAGACAAAUACCUGGGCAGCCGCGUUCUCCAUAGCAUCGUGGGACAGAGAGAGAAUAAGAGAAAAGAUACUUUAUAAGCUCAAGAAAUGAAGCACACUGCUCUUCUUCUCGGAUUUAUUACAUCUGCUGAGAAAGUCUUCACUGGCCUCCUUCUGGAACAGAGAUGCAGCGGAACCAAGGCUCAAGUAGUUAAAGAAGCCUUAGAUGACGUCCCUCCACAGAGAGAGGGACACGAAGAUUCAGAAAUGAUAACCCCAGAGGUGAUGAGUCAACUCACAGGUGAGUCCUUCUCAAUCUUACUUAUCACGUCGACACAUAAGCAAAGUUAUUUUUCUUCUUAAAAGCUUCUCUCCUUGUUCCCUCUUUGGUCUGAACUCCCACUGUUAAUACUAUUCAAGGUGAAAUAGCUCAAAACAUGCCACA